rnacentral:sRNA from 1 species
AGGGCCACCGGGUCGACCGCCCGGGUCGCCAGCAGGUAGUCGCGGAUGGCGAUGCCGUGGCGCCCCUC